GAGGUCAGAUUACUAAUGUACCUAACUUUUACUUUUCAAUCGAGUAAGAUGUCAUUAGCUGUGUAACAGAAACCAAAACAAAAAUGAUAACAUUCAGUUAAUAGGAUUCAAAGCUGAAAAGAACCAUAAGACUAGGAGGAUAGGGGCUGAGUUGGCCACUGUCAAGUCCAGCCCUGUCCCCCAAGAGCCAGUUCCUAUUCUCUACCAUUUCUGCAUGUUUUUCUCACUACUGUGAUGAAAUAAAAUUUGUAUUUUAAGGCAGGACAAGAAAAAUAAAUCAUGAAAUUCUCUUGGUGUGUUUAUUUGGGCUUCCUCCCUCCCUCGUGUGCAGUAGUGGGCCUCUGCAUUACACAUUAACCAGAGCUCCUCAAAGAUGGGAGUGCCUACUAGACCGUAAAGAUCAAUAUUUUUCUUUCUUCCGGUGUUAGCAAUGUAACUUCUUGAAGAAUAGUGUUCUUGGAGUUCCCUGGUGGUGCAGCAGGUUAAGGAUCCAGCAUUGUCACUGAUGUGGUUCAAGUCACAGCUGUGGCACCAGUUCCAUCCCUGGCCCAGGAACUGCCACAUGCUGCAGGCACAGCCAAAAAUAAAAAAUAAAAAAGAACGCUCUUCUUUCCCAGCUUUGUAGUAGGUCAUGACUCCCUGCUUCCUUUGUAUGUGCUUACCUGUCCUGUGUAUCCUUGGUGAACUUUACAUAAAAUAUCGGUAUGUCAUUUUGAUGUACAAUCUUUUCUCUCAAAAAUGUAUAUGACUGUACCUUCGACUUCGAACAGGUGGAACAGUUCUCAGAGCUUUCAGAGAAUCUACUUUCCAGGUUAUAAUCCUCAAUUUGGCUCAAAUAAAAUUUGCUUUGUUUCUUCUUGAUAGUUAAUUGAAUUUUUGUAGACAGCUACAAUAUGGAUUCAGUUUUACAGUAAGAAUAGUAGAGUUUUACAAAAAUAUAACAAAGUCCCUCUGCUUUUUAUUAUGUAUAUCAAGAAUACAUUUGAGUUUAAAGUAGAAAAAUAAUACUUCUGUGAUGCUGAGAAAUUAAGUACAAUUCCUUUUGAGCACCAUGGAUGUCAGCAUACACAAACAUCUUUAAUGAAACUAAAUGUGGUGUUGACAAAUAAAGUGCUAUGAAAUUUCUUGUUUUGCUCCUUGUGGAAAUUCCUUUAAAAGUACAAUCUCUAUUGUAAUUAUGAACAUUAGUUUCAUCUCCGGAGAAUCUAAAAGUAAGAAUUUACAAACAGGGUUGCUGAUGAAACUUGUCUCGUUGAAGAGAGUAGAGACUGGUUUGAACUUUUUCAUUUCACUUUCUAAUAUUUUAUUUUUAUUAUAUUAUUUAAAAUAUCAGUCCAUGAGGGGUUGAAAAUUAAGAGAAAAAAAAAUUUUUUUAAGGCCACACCUGCAGCACAUGAAAGUUCCCCGGCUAGGGGUUGAAUUGCAGCUAUAGGCUCUGGCCUGCCCCACAGCUACAGCAAUGCUGGAUCCAAACCACAUCUGCAACCUACACCACACCUUGCGGCAACGCCAGAUCCUUAACCCACUGAGCGAGGCCAGGGAUUGAACCUGCAUCCUCACAGAGACUAUGUCAUGUUCUUAAUCCACUGAGUCACAAUGGGAACUCCCAAGAAAAACAAUUUUUCCUUUAGCACAGAAACCCUACUUUAGGCUCUACCUGGGAUCUGAAUAAAUGUGAAGCUGUGUGUGUACUCAGUAAAACAAAAAUAAAAAUUCGUUGGACACUCCUGUUGCCCCGGAUAACCUCAUAAACAUGAGGUCAUGUUCACAGAAGUAGCCAUAGCCAGCCAGUUCUGACUCCCACCCUUGCAGGCACAGGAAAUUCAGCCCCACAUUUCUCUCAGGGACCUCUCAGCUGCCAGGGAUCCAUCACUGGAUCAUACCUUCAUGUGCUUCAUCAGAUUCCUUGGCCCCAGCUUUUCCUGGGAACCUCGACUAUUUGCUCAAAUGGAAAGUGCUUGCAGCCAGCCAUCCCCUCAUUUCUUAAUACCUCUGGCUGCCUCAGCUCCCUGGAGGUCGAGGGCCUGCUGCUAGCUCCUUCUCCAUCAUGCCUGACAAUCCUGGAGUCUUGACAGCUCUGCACCUUGGUCCCACCCAACCCAACCCACAGGGCUCUGGCCCUUCUCACUGCUUCUGAAUUCCCUGAAGCACCAAGCUUAGGGUUUGGAGCCUGGCUUCCCACAAACAAGAAGGGGCUGGAGGGGAUCAGUGACCAAACCAGAAGUAGAGGGGUGAGACAGGAGACAAGAUGGGGCUGGCAAGCAAGUUCCUCUACCUCCUUCCCUACAAAGUCCUGAUACGUGGCAGGGUGUUGUCAAAAGAUUUUCCCACACACCUUAUUUUUAUUCUUCACUAUACCUGUGUGAUAAGUAUUACCAUCCCCAUCUUAUAAAUGAGUAAACUGAAGUUCAGGGAAGAUGAUAUUCAUCCUAAGCCUGAAUCAAAAUUUGUUACAUACAGGUAAUGAGUAGUCAGUCCAUCAGGACAGGUCAGGCCCAAAUGAAUCUAGGAUCUGCACCAGGAGGCCUCAGUAAGGGACAUCCACGCAUACAUAAUAAAUUCAGGUGUGAAAUAAUUCCAGAAGAAGGUGUUUAUAUAAUGAAAAGGUGUGAGUAGGCCCAUCUUCACUGAGAUCAUCUUCCUCCGGGAUUAAUUACCAAUGUGUGGUACUCUUCAAGCCUUGCACAUUUUUUUCUUUUCUUUUUAUGGCACACGUGGCACAUGGAAGUUUUCUGUCUGGGGGUCAAAUUGGAGCUGCAGCUGCUGGCCUACACCUCAGUCAUAGCAACACACGAUCCAAGCUGGAUCCAUGACCUAUGCCACAGCUUGCAGUAAUGUUGGAUCCUUAACCCACUGAGCAAGGCAAGGGAUCCAACCCACAUCCUCACAGACAACAUGGCAGGUUCUUAGCCCACUGGGCCACAACAUGAACUCCAAACCUUGCACAUUUUUGAUGGGGCAAGCCCUGGGCUUGGCUUGGCGUGGAUGACCUGGCCCUGGGUCCUCAUCCAGCUGACUGGUUUUAAAACACUUGCUUCAAAGUAUUUUUGUUGUUGUUGUUGUUGGCUGUAUGACUGGAGACUUUGUAGCUCUCUCAAUCUCAAUUCCCUUAAACAAAUGUGGGUGAGAAAAAUGCCUUCCUUGCAGAGUUUUUCCAUGACUCACAGAAUAUUUGGUAAACUACCACAUCAUGCAAAGAUUUGUUAUUACCUCACACUCCAUCUCCAGUGUCCAACAAAACCUCAUAUAAACUGUUGGUUUCUGCUGCUUCCCUCUUUCUACAUCCUGAGUUUGGUCUCCCAGGGGAUUGAAGGCAAGCAGGCCUAAAUCCCAAGAAGUGCAGCCCAGUUUAUUUUAUGAACCACAAGAUGCCCAGUCUUGGUUCUUGUAAGCCUGGAGAACUCAUACAAAAGUUUUGAGGCUGUGUUCAGGCCUGGUACAGAACAAGUCGUCCAGCUACGGGAGGAUGCAUGUCAGAAGCUCAGAGAGUGAAUUGGGGCUAUGGAUGAGGGACUGAGAACCUGAGGUCCGAGAAGGAGACCUAAUGAGGGUAAGUCUCUAAAGGGCUUCCAGGUGGAAGUUUAGGACUGAAGGGCCAUUAAAGUCAUAUAAUCUAGUGUCUCAUUUUGCAAACAAAAGGUAAAACAGAUCCACAGAGGGUAUCUGCUGUUCUGGUAGGUGGCCCUCCUAGGACUAGAACCCAGGUCUCCUGAUUUCUGUUUCAAUGCUUUUUAAAAUUGGUCUUUAGCUCCUCUACACUGCCUCCAGCCUGUGUCAAGAUUUUCCAGGACAGCAACCAAUUUAAACAGUCUCUGAGAUAUUUCUAUUUGUCAGAGCACAGGUCCCAGUCUAAGGUUCAGGUAAUACACUACACUCUCAAUCAGGAGAAGAGCCAAGCAGUGAGCCCAGGUCUCAUCCAUGCUCCUUGAAGAUGCUCUUGCAACAAGUUGGGAGAAGACCCUGCUAUCCUCACUUCUGCCAGUAGGGGACACACAUGGAGGAAGUUUAUCAGCUAUAAAGUCUGGCAGCUGCCAGCAGAGGGGAGGGCAGCCCACCUUGGUUUCCAGCCAGGGACCAGCAGGAAAAAGCCAGUCUGACUGCUUUUACUGUCUAGUAAAAUGAAAAUACUCACAGAUUUCAUUUGCUCUACCAUUUCAGAUUCCUUAGUGAGGAAGCUGGCUGGCUCCAGACAGGGCACUUGAAUUUAAAUCAUCACCAGGCAGUACAAGACAUGUAACACUGGGGAAGUUAUUCGGAUAUUUGGUUUCCACAUCUGAAAGUGAAGGGAGCCUCUGUGCCCCCUGUGGGGUUGUUGAAGGGCAUAGAUUAUCAUUUGCUUGUCACAUGGUUACGUAUUCACUGUGUAUUAGCCAGCAAUUAAUAGUGAUUUUACUUGAAUAAUGUAGCCCUUUGGUAAAUAUUUAUUGAGCACCUACUAGGCAUAAGGCCCUGAACCAGGGGCUCGGCAAAUAAAAUAAUGAACAAACAGUUCUUCAUAAAUAUCACAAUUAUUAUUUUUUAUGUCUUUUGUAUUUUAUCUAUUACUUUUUAUUUUUAUUUAUCUAUUUAUUUAUGUUGCUUUUUAGGGCUGUACCCAUGGCAUAUGGAAGUUCCCAGGCUAGGGGUCGAAUCGGAGCUACAGCUGCCAGCCUAUGCCAUAGCCCACAGUAACACCAGGUCCAAGCCAUGUCUGCAACCUACACCACAGCUCCUGGCAACACCAAAUCCUUAACCCACUGAAGGAGGCCAGGGAUUGAACCUGCAACCUCAUGGUUCUUAGUCGGAUUCGUUUCCACUGUGCUGCAACAGGAACUCCCUAUCUAUUAUCUUAAUAACAGUAACUUUAUAGUCUCCAUUUUUUUUGUUGUUGUCCUUGUUAUGAGGAAGCUCAGCACCAAAUUUGAAGGUCCAGAUUGGUUGCUCUUUUGUCCCUUAUGGCCGACAGAUUUUUGUUCUUUUUGGUUGGUUUUUAUAUUCUACUCAUAGUUUAAUAAGUCAUUGUAUAAAUCUUUGACCUCUCGUGUCCCUCCACAGCUAUGGGCUAUUGCCUUACUGACAGGAAGCACAGAUCAGAGAUUAGAGCACUUUGGGGAAAGAAGCACAUUAGCCCAAAAGAAAAAAAAAA
rnacentral:lncRNA from 1 species